GACGGAGGAUGCAAGUGUUAUCCGGAAUCACUGGGCGUAAAGCGUCUGUAGGUGGCUUAAUAAGUCAACUGUUAAAUCUUGAGGCUCAACCUCAAAAUCGCAGUCGAAACUAUUAGGCUAGAGUAUAGUAGGGGUAAAGGGAAUUUCCGGUGUAGCGGUGAAAUGCGUAGAUAUCGGAAGGAACACCUGUGGCGGAAAGCGGCUCACUGGACCAUAACUGACGCUGAGGCACGAAAGCUAGGGGAGCAAACAGG
rnacentral:rRNA from 1 species